GCCAGAUAAGUCCAACUUCCUCAUGCCAGAUAAGUCCAACUUCCUCAGGUCAGAUAAGUCCAACUCAACUUCCUCAGGCAAGAUAAGUCCAACUUCCUCAGUCCAGAUAAGUCCAACUUCCUCAGGCCAGAUAAGUCCAACUUCCUCAGUCCAGAUAAGUCCAAAUUCCUCAGGCCAGAUAAUUCCAACUCAACUUCCUCAGGCCAGAUAAGUCCAAAUUCCUCAGGCCAGAUAAUUCCAACUCAACUUCCUCAGUCCCGAUAAGUCCAAAUUCCUCAGGCCAGAUAAUUCCAACUCAACUUCCUCAGUCCCGAUAAGUCCAACUCAACUUCCUCAGUCCCGAUAAGUCCAACUCAACUUCCUCAGUCCCGAUAAGUCCAACUCAACUUCCUCAGGCCAGAUAAGUUCAACUCAACUUCCUCAGUCCAGAUAAGUCCAACUCCUAUCCUUCAGUCCAGAUAAGUCCAACUCAACUGCACCAAAUGAAAGUGAUGGGCAAGGCUACUGCAUGUAGGAUACUGAUGGAGACGUGUUUCUCUCCUUUACCCAAGACCCUUUCUGUUUUAUACCUCUCUCUGUCUGUCCUCAAGAUAACAAACAAAACCAAGGUUAGUCUUGUUUAUGUCUCCUCUCCUCCAUGUCUCAGUGUCUUACUGCAGGUCUAUAAUAUGUCUCCUCCAUGUCUCUGUGUCUUACUGCAGGUCUAUAAUAUGUCUCCUCCAGGUCUCAGUGUCUUACGGCAGAUCUAUAAUAUGUCUCCUCCAUGUCUCUGUGUCUUACUGCAGGUCUAUAAUAUGUCUCCUCUCCUCCAUGUCUCUGUGUCUUACUGCAGGUCUAUAAUAUGUCUCCUCCACGUCUCAGUGUCUUACUGCAGGUCUAUAAUAUGUCUCCUCUCCUCCAUGUCUCUGUGUCUUACUGCAGGUCUAUAAUAUGUCUCCUCUCCUCCAUGUCUCUGUGUCUUACUGCAGGUCUAUAAUAUGUCUCCUCCAUGUCUCAGUGUCUUACUGCAGGUCUAUAAUAUGUCUCCUCCAUGUGUCUGUGUCUUACUGCAGGUCUAUAAUAUGUCUCCUCUCCUCCAUGUCUCUGUGUCUUACUACAGGUCUAUAAUAUGUCUCCUCCAUGUCUCUGUGUCUUACUGCAGGUCUAUAAUAUGUCUCCUCUCCUCCAUGUCUCUGUGUCUUACUACAGGUCUAUAAUAUGUCUCCUCCAUGUCUCUGUGUCUUACUGCAUGUCUAUAAUAUGUCUCCUCUCCUCCAUGUCUCUGUGUCUUACUACAGGUCUAUAAUAUGUCUCCUC
ensembl:lncRNA